rnacentral:misc_RNA from 1 species
GAAAUGCGAUAAGUAAUGUGAAUUGCAGAAUUCAGUGAAUCAUCGAAUCUUUGAACGCACAUUGCGCCUAUUAGUAUUCUAGUAGGCAUGCCUGUUCGAGCGUCAUUUCAACCAUCAAGCCCCCGGCUUGUGUUGGGGACCUGCGGCUGCCCGCAGGCCCUGAAAACCAGUGGCGGGCUCGCUGUCACACCGAGCGUAGUAGCAUACAUCUCGCUCAGGGCGUGCUGCGGGUUCCGGCCGUUAAAAGCCUUUUUUACCCAAGGUUGACCUCGGAUCAGGUAGGAAGACCCGCUGAACUUAAGC